GACAGCACAUGCUUCAGUGGUCUGGGAGUGUUUAUAUCCCUGUGAGUUUAACACUUCAUGACUGAGAGCUGUCCUUCAUGACAACAGAACCCACAACAACCAUGACUUUUAUCACCAUCUUUAUCUGGACACUUGCCUUCUGGUUUCAAGAGUCCAGAGGCCAGUACACUGUGACUCAGACUCCUGCAGUGAAAGCUGUUCUCCCAGGACAGACAGUCACUCUGAACUGUAGAACCAGCAGUAAUGUGCAUAGUAAUUGUCACAAUACUCAGUCAUGGGGCCAUCAGUGUCUAUCCUGGUACCAACAGAAACCUGGAGAAAAACCCAAACUCAUGAUGCUCCCAGGGAACACACUCCAUUCUGGGACUCCAUCUAGAUUCAGUGGCAGUGGAUCUGGGAGUGACUUCACUCUGACCAUCAGUGGAGUCCAGGCUGAAGAUGCAGGAGAUUACUACUGUCAGAGUUUCCACUAUCCCAAUAGUAAAUAUGUGUUCACACAGUGAUACAGAGCCGUACAAAAACCUCCCUCAGUCAGACUGCACAGUGACUGUACUGCUACAGCUGGGACCUACUGCAGGUGCUGAGGGGGAAGAGACAGUGACAUGGAACACUGAUCAGUAAGGAGGUCAAUAUGAAUAUGAAUAUGUUUAGAAAGCAUCAUCAUGUUCCUCAUCAUCAUCAUCAUCAUCAUCAUCGUUAUCAUGGUUGUAACUCAUUAUAUUUGUCAUGACCUGAAAGUUCACCAUCUUCAUCUGAACACUAAGUAAGUAAUGCAUGCAUAUAACAAUAAUAAUGUCUCACAACAUUUCUGAAUAAAACCUGGUCCCUCUGUCAGGUUGUGAAUUUCAAGCGACAAAUCUACAAUAUUUAUUGAGAUGGUAUAACAUGAUUAUAACUCCUAAUCCCUAAAUUAGUGUUUCCCAAACCUCUCCUUAAGUACCCGAGGAAGUCCACAUAUUUGAUUUUAUUCCAGAAUUAUCACAGGUGACCAUUUGCUGAUUACGUGACCAUUCGAAUCAGCUGUGCAAGUUCUGGAGCACAUCAAAUAAGUGGAAUGUCAGGGGGAACUUGAAGAGAGGUUUGGGAAACACUGUCCUGAAAUGACCUGUCGUACAGUCAACACAAAACCUCUCUCCUGCCACACCCUGCUAGAACCUUCCAGCACCUUCCCAGCCUUUAAUUGAGCCCAGCUGAGGCUCGUUUAUAAAUCAAGGCCAUGAUUGGCUGGGCAAUCAGCCCCACCGCUUAAAAAUGCUCCUGCUCACACAGAUCUCUUCAAUUACACUGUCUCUGUGGGACAUAGAAAGUCUGGAGUGUAUGUAUUAGUUGUACACUGUAGCAAAACGUUUUGCGUUAGAAAAAGAUUUGAAACGAAUACGUGAGUUUCUAUUGGACAAAUUCAGCUAGGUCCCUCGCCGUUUUGUUCCGUUUGCUACUGUUUGCUUCUGUUUGGUUCCAUUAGGCUCCUAGUGAAUACACCUCUGUAUUCAUUAUGGAAACCGUUUACCAUUUAAGAACCAAACGGAUACUUUAUUGCUUGGUUUAAUGGACUUUAGAGGUUAUAACGGAUGUAACUGAAGUACAUUUCUAAUGUGGUGUAACUGUGAAUAUUAUAAUUUUUAUUCAACUUUUUCUUUAUGUUGUUGUUUGUUAUUGUUGUUU